rnacentral:rRNA from 1 species
CCUACGGGUGGCAGCAGUGAGGAAUAUUGGUCAAUGGCCGGAAGGCUGAACCAGCCAUGCCGCGUGAAGGUCAGUGCCCUAUGGGCGUUAAACUUCUUUUGUGCGGGAGCAAUAAUGGUCACGUGUGGCCAGACGAGAGUACCGUACGAAUAAGCAUCGGCUAACUCCGUGCCAGCAGCCGCGGUAAUACGGGGGAUGCAAGCGUUAUCCGGAUUUAUUGGGUUUAAAGGGUGCGUAGGCUGUGAGGUAAGUCAGCGGUGAAAUGCCCCCGCUCAACGGGGUGAAGUGCCAUUGAUACUGCCUGGCUGGAAUGCGGAUGCGGUGGGAGGAAUGUGUGGUGUAGCGGUGAAAUGCAUAGAGAUCACAAAGAACACCGAUUGCGAAGGCAUCUCACGAAUCCGCGAUUGACGCUGAUGCACGAAAGCGUGGGUAUCAAACAGGAUUAGAUACCCCAGUAGUC